GGAAGGUAGCGUUCAAUGGUGAACAACUGGUCUUGAAAACCGGGCUGCGGUGAUGAGUCGUAGGGGUUCGAUUCCUCUACCUUCCU
rnacentral:tRNA from 1 species